UUAAUCCUAAAGGGGUGCUCAUCGUAAAUGAGCUGAGACUUUGUUUGCCUAAUUAGGCCUUGAUGAAGGACCCUUUGAACCUGAUUCGGUUAGCACCGACGUAGGAAUUAGGAAAGACAUUCAU
rnacentral:ncRNA from 2 species